CAGAGGACAGUGGCGGACGGGUGAGUAACGCGUGAGCAACCUGCCUUUCAGAGGGGGACAACAGUUGGAAACGACUGCUAAUACCGCAUGAUACAUUUGGGUGGCAUCAUCUGAAUGUCAAAGAUUUAUCGCUGAAAGAUGGCCUCGCGUCUGAUUAGCUAGAUGGUGAGGUAACGGCCCACCAUGGCGACGAUCAGUAGCCGGACUGAGAGGUUGAACGGCCACAUUGGAACUGAGACACGGUCCAAACUCC
rnacentral:rRNA from 1 species